AUCAUGUCACCUAUAUGUAGCUCUGUAAAUUACUUGCCAAAGCUCUCUUCAAAGUAAUUCGGAGGGCAUUGGAAUUUCUCGGUUUAGAGAGGGAGGAAAAUGGGAAUCUCUGGGAGUAAGAAGAGCCAGGGAGGGAAAGAUGAGGCUUCUGCAGUCAAAAUUAUAGCUGUUGGUGCUGCUAUUUUGCUUCUGCUGUGGGGAUCCUCUGUCAGGGGAAAUAAAACGAAACUGAUGAAGGCUCCUGGAAGGAAGGGGGAGUACAUUCCAAGAGCACUUUUUUGAAAGAGAUCCAAAGACUUAUUUCAGCCGACUCCAUCGUGAUGGCUGAUAGCAGAAAAAUAAUAUCCGUCAUCUAUCUAUCUAUCUAUCUAUCUAUCUAUCUAUCUAUCUAUCUAUAUCUAUUUGUGUAUAUAUCUGUCUGUCUGUCUAUCCAUCUUCCUAUAAUGAAUCUCCACCGAUCACCUUCACCUUUA
rnacentral:lncRNA from 1 species